rnacentral:lncRNA from 1 species
AGAUAAUCAAGACAGAGGAAACAAUUCCAGAACAACCAGCCACUGAAGUUACUGUCACAGAACAACCAGAGUCCGAAGUUCCUGCUACAGAAGUACCAACAGAAAAACCAACACAAACAACAGAAACACCAGAAGAAACUCCAGCUGCUCCUGAAACACAAGAUCCACUUGUAGUUGCGACCAAAGAAGUGGUAGCAGAAGAAGCCAAGGAAGAGAACUCAGAAGCACCUAAAGAAGCAGAGGAAUCAGUUGAAGAAGUGAAGGAAGAGGCGGCAGCAGUAGAGGAGGCUAAAGCAACCA